UGUUAUUGUAACUAAAAAGGAAAACCGAUGAAAACGGGAAAACUGGUCGAACUUUGAUGUGAUUAGGGAUAUUUGAGCGGAAAUGGCUAGGUUUGACCAUGUUGGACUUGGCCACGAUUGGCAAUAAAUUCUUCAAUAUUUGCGUAAAUUGACGACGUGAAAUAUGUUCGUAUAAGAUUUAUUUUUAUGGCGAAAGAUUGCAGCGGUGCACCUUCUGAUCUUUAAAUCAUGUCAAAAAUUAUGAUAUGAUCCCCCUUGAGAUCAUUAUUUAAUCACAGUUUUAUGAGCGGGCUUUCCAAAACUAGCACGGAUCUCCCAUGAAUUCAACUCCCAACAGCAACUCCCCGGCACAUUUGCCAAAUCAAUAUGCAAUAUCCCACAAGUAAAGGAUUUCAAACUCUCACUCGAAUCUACACACACACACACUCAGUGGGCAAUCAUAUCGAUGUGGGGAAAACUGAACCGCCUGUCAUAAAAGCCGCACACACAAAAAUACGAGUAGUUGGCUGCAUCAAGAGGGAACUGUGGCAUGAAAAGCACAAAAACUAGCCAACAAACCCCCAGAAAAAUAACAAUUGCACCCCGUAACCCCUGAUCUCUGGCACUGCCACUCGCCGUCCCAAAGCCAUCCGUUCAUGUCUCUGCCAAUGCAUUUCAAAACAGGAGCUGCAGGAGCAGCGAAUCGGGAAAGCCGUUCGGCCACGCCCCUCCGCCGCCCCCACCAUAUCUGUCAAGUGAACUGGAAGUGAUACGGAUAUA